UUAGUUAUGUUAGGAAGUUUGCCAUCUUUAUGACCGGCCCUGGUAACUUCACCCAACUUCUCUUAUCCCCAGAACACAGUAACUUAAUAACAUAACUGUUUUUCUGACAUUUUUGGGAAAUUUAAGGGAAAAUAAAAAAUACAGCCCAAGCAGAGCCCCAAGUCCCAUGGAGACGUCCUCGAGGGCGUGGAUGUUCUCCCCAUCAAAGGCCAGCGGGAUUUCACUCUCACGGUGAGAUGGAUUUCCACCGAUGUGCAGUAAAGGAGUGAAGAGCGGUGAAAUCUGUGUCAACAAAACCUUCCUCUCCUCUGAAGACCCAGUGAGGGUGGAGCUCAGUCAGAGAGCCGUUGAGGGACUGGUUAGGAAGAACACUUCUACAGCCAGAGAGGGGCAGUCAGGAAAUGGAACGGCAAGGCCACAGAACAUGACAUAAGCAGAGCUGUGGGAGACCACCUCAAGCCCCUGGUAGAGCCGGGGGUGGUGUUUACCACUCCACCACACCUUCAGCAGGCUGGAAAAGUGGGAUUGAUACUGUUUUUCAUACUAAGAGGGACCAGGAGUCUGUUGAUUGUUCAGUCUUUGGGUUCAUUUGUUGAAAUCAAAUCAAUCAAGCUUUAUUUAUACAGCACAUUUCAGACAUGGAUGCAACACAAUGGCUUCACAGGAAAAAAACUAAAUGAAAAUAAACUAAAAUAUUUAGUACAUAACAAACAGAAGAUAAAUAACUGAAAGACUAAUGAACAUUUAAGGACAUUUCAUUGAUUAAAAUAUUAAUUGGAUGCAAUAUCCAACCCAAAAUAUUAGCUUCUUUUUUAGGAGGGGCUCUGAAAGACACUAUGGGGUGUCCACUGAAAGUUGACUAGUAACAACAACUGGGACAUAAGACACCCACCAUGAGACCCACUAAAUCUGCCCAAGAAGAGGGAAACAAAAGAAAAACCCUCACCAAACUUAAAGACAGGAAGUAAUCCAAAAAGGUGGAGCAACUAAAGGUGUUGACUCUCCACAUCUAUCAAGACAACUGGAGCACUGGGCCAGACACUCUUAAAUAGAACCUGGACCACUCUUACAUACUGACUAACGAGGUGACACCAAUCAGUGCGUCCAACAUGCUAACGAGAUAGACGUGUUAAAGUCCAACCUCAAAACAUAAAUAGAAAAACCAAAGCCUGUAUCACCUUCCCCCUUAAGAAAACAAAUAUAUCCUAUAUUUUUGUUGGACACGUUUGCUCACCACCAACAGAAAACAACUUCAAUUUCACAUUAUAAUCAACUACAAUGCUUCACCUUCACCAAUAUAAACAUGGUGUCUACUGGCUGUCAACAAUUAAAAACAAGAAAAAACACUUAUUCCUAAAUAAUAAUAAAGAAUCAUGUUAUUUUUUUCUCCUUUUUCUUUCUAUAGAAUCCUAAAACUCACUAGCUUCUAGAACUCUCGUCCUCUUGGAACGAGCCCAAACAAAACUCAGAUCAAAUUGUAUUAGUCACAUGCACCGAAUACAACAGUGAAAUGCUUCCUUAUGAGCCCCUAACCAACAGUGCAGUUUCAAUACGGAAAAGAAUAAGAGAUAAAACUCCAAAUAAACACACUGGCUCAACGCAAAACACAAAUCUUUUUGACUGCCCACCCCAGAGAUAAUCAGCAACCAAGUUUUCCUUACCACGGACUGAUUUCAAGAGGAAACUCCUGCGAUAUCCGUAAUAACUUUCCACCUCACUGCGGAGCUUCUCUCUCUUUUCAGGGUUCACUAGAUAGGCAUGUUGUUGGAUCUGGGCCCAGUCCCCAAUAUCAUGCUCUAGAACAUUUGGUUUGGCACAUGUGAGAAUUAACCCUGAUAUUCUAAAAACAGGGCAACAAUGUCAAUAUAAUUGUACCAAAAAAUGGUCAUGUUGGUUGCAUGAAUAAAUAUCACUACCAAAUGUUACAUGAAAUGUAAAUAUGAAAUAUUUGAUUGCAUAGUCAUAUUUUCAACGUCUUUUCAAUAUAAUUUUGCUUGGUGGGAUAGCCCAAUGUCAAAACACAGUUUUAACGUGUCCAAAUCAAUAACCAAUAUGCAGGAACAGUUUGGGGAUAAAUUGAAAACCUAAACAUAACAUGUGCUAUAUACACAAACAUCUGCCACAAUAAUCAUAUUACUUGUAUUUUUUAAACAAGCUCCUUAUAAACUGCACAAGCACCAGAAACACUGUUGUUUUGACAAAUAGCAAUAAAUCACUGAUAUCGAUUAGGUGGGAAAUUAGGUUGUACGUGCUGUUGAAACUGACACAACAAAAAAAACACAUGGAAAUGGGAGAUAUAUUUUACCUCCCUGGUUAGAGGACAACCUGCAGAAGAGUCAGCUACAUUUGGGAGUGAUGCAUUAAAUUUAGGGGUCACUAAACAAGGGAAUGCAACACUUAUUUGUCAUCACUCAUCGAUAUCAUGCUAAAAAAAUUGUGAGAGAGGAGAGAGAUGAGGUUGCACGUCCUGUUAAAACUAACAGCUCAAAAACCACACGGAAUCUGGGAGUACAUCCCUGGGAGUACAUCCCUGGUUAGAGGACAAUUUGUAGAAAACAGCACGCCACAUUUUGAAGUGUUGCAUUUUGAUUCAAGUGGGUCACCAACGUGGUAAGUGUAACACAACUCCUAAUUGUCCCUAGAAUUUCUAAGCAAACAGCUGGAGGCAGGGCUUUCUCCUGUAGAUCUCCAUUU